CCUCUAGUCUUUGGCAUGCAUUAAGUUAUUUGGUACAAAAUACUAGUGGAAAGCCUGGUGUUAUGUCUUCAUAUCAGCAGCUUCCCUCUGCUGAUUCUUUCCUCACUCACCAAGACACAU
rnacentral:snoRNA from 1 species